rnacentral:lncRNA from 1 species
CUCUCUUGUAAUUAAGUCGGAAAUAGAUAAUUUUAUCUACCUUGUAUGUUUAAUAUUAUAAUUUCGACGGAGUGGGAAUCCCGUUGUUAAUAAAUGAAAAAAAGAAAUAACACUUAUUAAAAUGUGAAAUAAAAAAAAUAUCAUCCCAACUUGAUUCUUGAAUGAAACAAAAACAAAAACUAAGGCAGGCUAUACAAUGUGCUUUCUUAUACGACAUAAUGAUAAAAUUGACUCGUGGGAUCGACACGAAGCGUCAAAAUGGUUGCAUCGAACAAAAUGAAUUCCAUAUAAAUAUGAAGCACCCGAUACAAAUUACAGCAAAUUAAGGAAGAAGACCAAUGUAUGGAGCGGGUACUAUGUACCUAGGAUUUGUCGGAAACUCCAUCGUGCUUUGUCUAAUAACUGUUCCAACAGCCUCGAUGAAGACAACGACGAACUCUAUGACAAGCUUCAAUAGUUUUAUGCACAUUUCAAUCCUCGAAAUCACCAUUGCUAUUUUUCGUUCUGGCUUCCGCGCUCUCUCUCUAGGAGUUGAUAUAAUGUCUCUCUCUUCAUAAGUGUAUAUAUUCAUGCUCUAAAUAUUGAAUUCACACAAUCAUGGGAAUUUUUUUAAUGUGCCUUUUGGAACUUCCAUAGGACAAAAA